CUGACUGUAACAAGAACUGCUGAAUGUCGUGCAACGAAACCUGUAAUGUUCUUUCGAUUAUAACCUGAUUAUAACAUAACAAAGUAAAAAAUUAUUUAAUUUAAUUGGCAGAACAUUUGUCAGCCAGCUGGGUUUUAAGGAUGCCAGCAGGUGUAUCGUGGCCAAGAUAUUUACGGAUGUUUGCAGCCAGUGUGUUGUCAAUGUUUGCUGGAGCACAGGCUGUGCAUCAGUAUUACCGUCCUGAUUUAACCAUUCCAGAUGUCCCACCAAAGCCUGGAGAACUGCAAACAGAACUUCUUGGCUUGAAAGAAGGACAGACAGACUUAGCGUCUCCGAAACAAUGACCCGUUGAUUUGUUUUUCUUAACUAACAUGCAAAGCCUAACUGAUUAUACAAAAUUCAU